rnacentral:rRNA from 1 species
GAUGAACGCUAGCGACAGGCCUAACACAUGCAAGUCGAGGGGUAGCACAGAGAUAGCGUGCUAUUUUGGGUGACGACCGGCGCACGGGUGAGUAACGCGUAUGCAACCUGCCUAUAAGAGGGGGAUAGCCUUUCGAAAGAAAGAUUAAUACCGCAUAAUACUGUUGAUCUGCAUGGAUUGACAGUUAAACUAAUUGGCUUAUAGAUGGGCAUGCGUUCCAUUAGAUAGUUGGUGAGGUAAUGGCUCACCAAGUCAGCGAUGGAUAGGGGUUCUGAGAGGGAGGUCCCCCACACUGGUACUGAGACACGGACCAGACUCCUACGGGAGGCAGCAGUGAGGAAUAUUGGUCAAUGGGCGAGAGCCUGAACCAGCCAAGUCGCGUGAAGGAUGAAGGUCUUAUGGAUUGUAAACUUCUUUUAUAAGGGAAUAAAAAAGAUCACGUGUGGUCUAUUGCAUGUACCUUAUGAAUAAGCAUCGGCUAACUCCGUGCCAGCAGCCGCGGUAACAC